rnacentral:lncRNA from 1 species
GGUAGACUGUUUGAUUCUGCGCGUGUUUUUGUACGGUCAAACCCCCUCAUUGAUUAUGCAGAAGGAGCGGCAGACCAGCUCCAUCUCCGCUAGAGAUGUAUCUGUGCGAGCGCUGGUGUAGAGGGAACCGGUAGGUUAUCAAAUCCACAGGCUAGAUUACGUUUAAUUGAGAUACAUAAGUAUUGUGGUGUUUUUGUAUACAGGAGGCAUAAUUCCGCCAAGAACAAUAGCGCGGAAGCAGUAGGCUACAUUCCCCAAGUGUCAGCUAGUCGUCUUGAAUGUAACCACGGAGGUGAAGUAACUUCACGGUAACAUGCCGAGAAGAAGGGAUUUUUUUGUUGCAGCAUGCUUAUUGCUACACAUCGGAAUAACAGAUGGCUUCUCUGGGGACCAUGGCAAUGACCUGAUCUACCGCCGUGUGGACCCUGAGGGUCACGAGAUGACCUUUGAUCUGGGCAAAGGGGCCUGGAGCAGGGGCCAGUCUCAUGCCAGGAUGGCCAAGUUGAGUCCCGCUGCGCUGAUGGACUCCCGUUUCCGCCAGUCACCACGCAGGCAUGGCGUCAGUGUCUUGGCGAGGAACGAUCACGAGGUCCACGUCGAGAACGCCCCUGUCCAUGCUCGACACAUCGUUACCGUGGUGAGUGACCCCUGAACCUUACUCGAUUUUUAUCUUUUUUUUAUUUUUUUUACUGCGUGCUACAGCUUUGUAUGAUCUUGCUAAUGAUGUUCUUUUGGUGAUUAUAAGACUGCUGACAUAGUGAUAUUCAUUGUUGGUGAACUGAGAAAAUAACUGAGUUUUGAUGAUAUUCUGUUUUUAUGAUAUUGCACGCUUUGACGGUCUAUCCUCAGACUGUUUUAAUACCAACAUGCCUCUUGGCAAAGUAAAGGCUGCUUGCAGAUAUUGAGACAUUGAUAAACACUGUCGGAACAGUGUGGUAUUGGUUAACAACACUCAUCACAACCCUGCUGUGUGUGUGUGUGUGUGUGUGUGUAUGUGUAUGAGUGAGUAUGUGUGUGGUCAGUUCUCUCCCAGAUGGCUCUCUUGUCUUUCUCUUCUCAUCUCACAGUGAGAUUUAUGAGAAGUAGCAUCUGCCGCAAUAUCAGACAGGCUGUCCAAGGCUGUGUUUGUUAUGUGUGUGCAUGAGCAGGCAUUGACCUUUAUGUCUGAAAGAUACAUGCCGCUCUUAAGUGUGUGGCGUUAGAGUGAUGGCGUCUCAGCAGUUUAAUAUUUGAGAGGAUAUCAAUCACACCAUCAAAACAUCAGAGUUCGCAGACAGUGUAGCCUCCAUAUGCUGUCUCUAGGGUUUGGUACCAUGACAACUGCACAGUCAUACUGCGUCCCUCUCUUUGUUAAAGCUCAUCCACAGGCCAAAAUGUCAUCCGUCUUUUUCUUUUCAUUUAUUUUCUUAUCGGUGGUAGUCGGAGGAAGCAUAUUUUGCACGGGAAUGUUGACAAAUGCACCCCUGCUGGGUGGCAUGUACGUAACUGGCAGAUAAGCAGGUUUGCCCUUGAGUUUAACAUUGGGCAUCCGGGCUGAUCCUGGACCAGAUCUGGGUCGGAACCGUUCAGCUGUCAGUGUCUAUCUGAGCCUGUGCUGCUGUCCCCUGAAGGAAGAGGCAGCUUU